UUUUCACUCUGUGUGCACCCAAGAAAAUACCAGGUGCUCGUCACCAUGCUCCAAACGCUACUAGCCAACCUGGAAACCCUCCUCAUCGUCCACCAUUCCUCUAUUCUUCCCUCUCAACGCAGAACCCCGAAGGUGUUUCUUAUUUCUCAACAAAGUCCCCUCCACCUCCCUAUUUUCCCUUUCUUUUUUCUUUUUCCUUAAAAACCCUUUGAUGGAAUCCUUCCAAAUAUGCAUAUCCUCUGUUCUUUCUUGGAUUCCUUUUCAGUGUACUCCUCCAAUCUUGUGAACAAAAUCCAAAAAUUUAUCUCUUGUUUCUAAAGAAAAGUAGUCAAAUUUAUACAGUUCCAAUAUAGCAUCAUCGUCUGAACCACAAUCGAUACGUAAAUCGAUGCUAAAUUGAAAUCUCGCUGCAAGGAUAUUGGAGUUUUGGGUGGCUCUGAUCUGAAUAAUAUAUGGAGGAGAAGAGAAAUAUAUUGUUUGGGAAAUAUGAGAUGGGAAGGCUGUUGGGCAAAGGGACUUUCGCCAAGGUUUACUACGGCAAAGAAAUGGUGUCCGGCGAGAGCGUGGCGAUCAAAGUCAUAAACAAGGACCAGGUGGUGAAAAAAGAGGGCAUGAUGGAGCAGAUAAAGCGCGAGAUCUCGGUCAUGCGCCUGGUCCGACACCCCAACGUGGUGGAGCUCAAGGAAGUCAUGGCCACCAAGACCAAGAUCUUUUUCAUCAUGGAGUACGUCCGCGGCGGCGAGCUCUUUGCCAAGGUUGCCAGGGGCAAGCUCAAGGAGGACUCGGCCCGAAACUACUUCCAGCAGCUGAUCAGCGCAGUCGAUUUCUGCCAUAGCAGAGGCGUCUCCCACCGAGAUCUCAAACCUGAAAACCUCUUACUCGAUGAGAACGAGAACCUCAAGAUUUCCGACUUCGGCCUGUCCGCUUUGCCCGAACAGCUGCGCAUCGACGGGCUCCUCCACACGCAGUGUGGCACUCCGGCGUACGUGGCCCCGGAGGUCUUGAAGCGGAAAGGAUACGACGGGUCCAAGGCCGAUAUUUGGUCCUGUGGAGUGAUCCUAUACGUACUGCUAGCUGGAUUUCUUCCGUUUCAGGACGAGAAUCUGAUGAAAAUGUAUAGCAAAAUCUUCAAAUCUCAGUUCGAGUUCCCCCUUUGGUUUUCGUGCGAGUCGAAGCGAUUGAUCUCCAAGCUCCUCGUCCCCGACCCAGAUAGACGCAUCACAAUCCCGAUCAUAAUGCGCGUCCCUUGGUUCCGCAAAGGGAUAACAAGGCCGGUUCGACCGGUAGCUGCCGUUGAGAUUAUCAAAGAAACGACGCAAUCAGAAGCCGUGGGGGACAAUCACGAUCGUGCGCCCCCGAAGACUCCAAGUUUCUUCAACGCGUUCCAGCUCAUAGCCACAAUGUCGUCCGGGUUCGACUUGUCGAGCCUGUUCGAGGAGAAGCGGAAGGUGGGGUCGAUGUUCACGUCGAGGUGCGCGGUCGCGUCGAUUGUAGCGAAAAUUGAGUCGGUGGCUAAGGGGCUGAGCUUCCGGGUGGCGAAAGCAAAGGACUUUAAGGUGAGAUUUGAAGCCCCCAUAGACGGGCGCAAGGGGAGGCUGGCCGUCACGGCCGAGGUGUUCGAGGUGGCCCCCGAGGUUGCCAUCGUGCAGUUCUCCAAGUCCGCGGGUGACACUUUGGAGUACGCCAAGUUUUUCGAAGACAGUGUUAGGCCUGCUUUGAAAGACAUAGUCUGGACAUGGCAAGAUGACAGUAUCUGUAACGCCUUGGAUGGAUGAUAACUGUGCAGAAUGUGAAUGCCGCUAGAGAGAGCGGAGCGCCAAACACUUAAAAUUUACUUCUAGGAUGCUGUUUGGUGAAAGGGAAUGUAAUGGAAAGAAAGUGGAUUGCCUAUUGCUAUUUGU